UACGAAGGGGGCUAGCGUUGCUCGGAAUGACUGGGCGUAAAGGGCGCGUAGGCGGCGGUCACAGUCAGAUGUGAAAUUCCUGGGCUCAACCUGGGGGCUGCAUUUGAUACGUUCGGACUAGAGUGGGGAAGAGGGUCGUGGAAUUCCCAGUGUAGAGGUGAAAUUCGUAGAUAUUGGGAAGAACACCGGUGGCGAAGGCGGCGACCUGGUCCUUGACUGACGCUGAGGCGCGAAAGCGUGGGGAGCAAACAGG
rnacentral:rRNA from 1 species